UACAGAGGGGGCAAGCGUUGUUCGGAAUUACUGGGCGUAAAGGGCGCGUAGGCGGCCUUCUAAGUCGAACGUGAAAUCCCCGGGCUCAACCCGGGAACUGCGUCCGAGACUGGAAGGCUUGAAUCCGGGAGAGGGAUGUGGAAUUCCAGGUGUAGCGGUGAAAUGCGUAGAUAUCUGGAGGAACACCGGUGGCGAAGGCGACAUCCUGGACCGGUAUUGACGCUGAGGCGCGAAAGCCAGGGGAGCAAAGCGGG
rnacentral:rRNA from 1 species